rnacentral:rRNA from 1 species
UACAGAGGGUGCAAGCGUUAAUCGGAAUUACUGGGCGUAAAGCGUGCGUAGACGGUCAUGUAAGUCGGGUGUGAAAGCCCCGGGCUCAACCUGGGAACUGCGCUUGAGACUGGCACGCUCGAGUUCGGGAGAGGAUGGUGGAAUUCCCAGUGUAGAGGUGAAAUUCGUAGAUAUUGGGAAGAACACCGAUGGCGAAGGCAGCCAUCUGGACCGACACUGACGCUGAGGCGCGAAAGCGUGGGGAGCAAACAGG